AAGCCGACUGUGCUGUUCCUGGAGACUGGGAAGAAAAGAAAGGCUGGAAAGACUCCAAAGCACAGGGUGAAGUUGCCGAUCUCCUUGGCCUUAUUGAGCUGGGGAAUAUCUCAGGAGACCAGCUUGUCUCCUUGUCAUCUACCUGGUCCUGGAGAGGAAUCUUUAGGUGAUUUUCAGAAAUUCAUUUGUUUUGUGCUUUUCUUCAUUAUCUGGAGAAGUUUGUCCUUUCCCAUGUGCUGUCAUCAUUUUCCAUGUUUACUUCAAAAUAAACAAAAUAAAAUAUAACAGGAUCCGGUGUUUAUUAACAGAUCAGGAUUUAUUUAUUUGUUUGAAAGGAGGAAUACAGAGAGAAGAAGAGGAAAAGAAAGAGAGAGAGAGAGAGAGAGAUCUUCUAUCUGCUAGUUCACUUCCCAAAUGGCAGCAAUGUCUGGGGCUGAGCCAGACUGAAGCCAGGUGCCAGGAGCUUCUUCCAGUUCUCGCAUACUUCUUCCCACCACGAGCUCACCACACCCAGACUGCCUUCUACAUGAAAGAUUGAAGAGAUGCAGAGCCAAACUAUCCAUCAAGUAUUUAUGUGGGUGAAGAAAAAGAUGAUUUGGUAAUGUCAGUAUGCUUGAUAUUCACUGAUUUUCCCAGCCAUGACAGACUUUUUACAGGAAUAGAUCAUUACAAAUAUUUUGUUGUAUCUAAAACAUAAAGGUUUGAGAUUUUUUCCCCUAACAGAAUAUCCUGUGCCUGGAAAAACUAUGAAGUCUUUUCUUUAAAGAUUGGACACAUUUUUUGAGUUGAAGAGGAAUUUGGAUGAAAGCAUAAGACAGGUCACAUUCAGGAUGGUAUGAAGAAUACAGUUUAUCAAGAUCAAAUAACUUGAAAUAUUGCAUGUACACUCUAUUGUUUCCAAGUUUUGCUAUUAUUCACUUGUUUUUCUCUUGAAAAGUGCCUUGUGAUGAUGACAAUGAUAUUUUUUAGAAAAAGGAUAU